CUUGUUGGUGGGGUGAUGGCCUACCAAGGCGACGACGGGUAGCCGGCCUGAGAGGGCGACCGGCCACACUGGGACUGAGACACGGCCCAGACUCCUACGGGAGGCAGCAGUGGGGAAUAUUGCGCAGUGGGCGAAAGCCUGACGCAGCGACGCCGCGUGAGGGAUGAAGGCCUUCGGGUUGUAAACCUCUUUCAGCGCCGAAGAAGCGAAAGUGACGGUAGGCGCAGAAGAAGCACCGGCUAACUACGUGCCAGCAGCCGCGGUAAUACGUAGGGUGCAAGCGUUGUCCGGAAUUAUUGGGCGUAAAGAGCUCGUAGGCGGUUUGUCGCGUCUGCUGUGAAAACUCGGGGCUUAACUCCGGGCCUGCAGUGGGUACGGGCAGACUAGAGUGCGGUAGGGGAGACCGGAAUUCCUGGUGGAGCGGUGGAAUGCGCAGAUAUCAGGAGGAACACCGGUGGCGAAGGCGGUUCUCUGGGCAUUUCCUGACGCUGAGAAGCGAAAGCGUGGGGAGCAAACAGGCUUAGAUACCCUGGUAGUCCACGCCGUAAACGGUGGGCACUAGGUGUGGGGAACAUUCCACGUUCUCCGUGCCGAAGCUAACGCAUUAAGUGCCCCGCCUGGGGAGUACGGCCGCAAGGCUAAAACUCAAAGGAAUUGACG
rnacentral:rRNA from 1 species